rnacentral:ncRNA from 1 species
UCGGGGGUGCCUAUACAGAGAUUCCGACUGUGGACGGAUUACGAUGUAAAGGCUGAGAUUAUACCCAUUGACCUGAUACAGAUAAUGCUGUCGUAGGAAAUGAGAAUAA